rnacentral:lncRNA from 1 species
GGAACUAAAGCUUGCACAAUUGAACAUGGUGAUUUAGGUGCUAAAAGAUAUAUUCAAUCAUAGUAAAUGAGUACAAAAAGGGAUCUAGUCUAGAGCUUCAUAAAUAUCUCACUCACUAAUCACUAUAAACUACAUCUCUCAAGCACACCUCUACAAGUGGACAAACUCACCUUAUAUAGAGGUGUUUACAUGUCUCUCUCUCACUCUAACUCACAAUUGGGUCUAAAGGCUAAAGCACCACAUGCAAUUGGGUUUUACAAAAGUCAAACAUUUACAAAGUCAUGAAUGNGGGUUGUACAAAAGUCAAACAUUUACAAAGUCAUGAAUGAAGAACUUUGCACCCCAACACUCACUACGAGGUUUGAGCUUGUUGUGAGUCUCUCAUCUUACGAAAGUCUCGCAACCCCAAACCUUGAUAUGUGCCAACGAGGGAGCUUUCCAUGUCCAUAUCUCGUGAGGUGUUUUGGCAACCUUCUUUGUGGGGACAAAGUUAAGGAUAUGGGCGGUAGUCUCUAAGGCAUACCCCCAUAAUGAUAUAGGCAGCGAAGCACGACACAUCAUGGAACGAACCAUGUCUAGCAAGGUUUGAUUACAC